rnacentral:tRNA from 1 species
GGGCUGAUGGUGAAACGGGAUCACACCUGCCUUGCAAGCAGGAGUUCAGGGUUCGACUCCCUGUCGGUCCACGA